AUAUAGGUUAAGUUAUUAAGGGCGCAUGGUGGAUGCCUUGGCACUAGGAGCCGAUGAAGGACGUGACUAACUGCGAUAAGCUUCGGGGAGUUGUAAGUAAACUGUGAUCCGGAGAUUUCCGAAUGGGGAAACCCAGCAGGAGUAAAGACCUGUUAUCACUGAGUGAAUACAUAGCUCAGUUGAAGGUAGACGUGGGGAACUGAAACAUCUAAGUACCCAUAGGAAGAGAAAGAAAAUUCGAUUCCCUGAGUAGCGGCGAGCGAAAAGGGAACAGCCCAAACCAGAGAGCUUGCUCUCUGGGGUUGUAGGACUGGACAUUUGAGUUACCAAGAAACGAAGUAGUUGAAUGAUUUGGGAAGAUCAGCCAGAGAAGGUGAUAGCCCUGUAAGCGAAACUUCGUUUCCUCAGCCCAGUAUCCUGAGUACGGCGGAACACGUGAAACUCCGUCGGAAUCCGGGAGGACCAUCUCCCAAGGCUAAAUACUCCCUAGUGACCGAUAGUGAACCAGUACCGUGAGGGAAAGGUGAAAAGCACCCCGGGAGGGGAGUGAAAUAGUUCCUGAAACCAUGUGCCUACAAGUAGUCAGAGCCCGUUAAUGGGUGAUGGCGUGCCUUUUGUAGAAUGAACCGGCGAGUUACGUUAGCGUGCGAGGUUAAGGCGCAAAGGCCGGAGCCGUAGCGAAAGCGAGUCUGAAUAGGGCGAAUGAGUACGUUGACGUAGACCCGAAACCAGGUGACCUACCCAUGUCCAGGUUGAAGGUGCGGUAAGACGCACUGGAGGACCGAACCCGUGUAUGUUGAAAAAUGCUGGGAUGAGGUGUGGGUAGAGGUGAAAUUCCAAACGAACUUGGAGAUAGCUGGUUCUCUCCGAAAUAGCUUUAGGGCUAGCCUCGGAGUUAAGGAUCGUGGAGGUAGAGCACUGUUUGGACUAGGGGCCCGUCUUGGGUUACUGAAUUCAGAUAAACUCCGAAUGCCACAGAUCUAUAUCCGGGAGUCAGACUGCGAGUGAUAAGAUCCGUAGUCGAAAGGGAAACAGCCCAGACCACCGAUUAAGGUCCCUAAAUAUGUGUUAAGUGGAAAAGGAUGUGGAAUUGCACAGACAACUAGGAUGUUGGCUUAGAAGCAGCCACCAUUUAAAGAGUGCGUAAUAGCUCACUAGUCGAGUGAUCCUGCGCCGAAAAUGUAACGGGGCUAAACACAUUACCGAAAUCGUGGAUGCAACUAUGUUGCAUGGUAGGAGAGCGUUCUAAGGGCGAUGAAGCUAGACCGUAAGGACUGGUGGAGCGCUUAGAAGUGAGAAUGCCGGUAUGAGUAGCGAAAGAUCAGUGAGAAUCUGGUCCACCGUAUGACUAAGGUUUCCUGGGGAAGGCUCGUCCUCCCAGGGUUAGUCGGGACCUAAGCCGAGGCCGAGAGGCGUAGGCGAUGGAUAACAGGUUGAGAUUCCUGUACUGGUUUGAUUUGUUUGAACGAUGGAGGGACGCAGGAGGCUAGAGAUGCGUGCUGUUGGAUAUGCACGUCCAAGCAACAAGUCUGAUGAUGAGUCAAAUGCUUAUCGUCUUAAGGACAAGUUGUGACGGGGAGCGAAAUUAAAGUAGCGAAGUGAUCGAUGUCACACUGCCGAGAAAAGCUUCUAGUUAGGAUCAGACCACCCGUACCGCAAACCGACACAGGUAGUCGAGGCGAGUAGCCUAAGGUGAGCGAGAGAACUCUCGUUAAGGAACUCGGCAAAAUGACCCCGUAACUUCGGGAGAAGGGGUGCUGCACAAUGUGCAGCCGCAGUGAAUAGGCCCAGGCGACUGUUUAUCAAAAACACAGGUUUCUGCAAAAUCGUAAGAUGAAGUAUAGGGGCUGACGCCUGCCCGGUGCUGGAAGGUUAAGAGGAUGGGUUAGCGUAAGCGAAGCUCAGAAUUGAAGCCCCAGUAAACGGCGGCCGUAACUAUAACGGUCCUAAGGUAGCGAAAUUCCUUGUCGGGUAAGUUCCGAC
rnacentral:rRNA from 1 species